rnacentral:rRNA from 1 species
CCUACGGGAGGCAGCAGUGAGGAAUAUUGGUCAAUGGACGCAAGUCUGAACCAGCCAUGCCGCGUGCAGGAAGACGGCUCUAUGAGUUGUAAACUGCUUUUGUACGAGGGUAAACGCAGAUACGCGUAUCUGUCUGAAAGUAUCGUACGAAUAAGGAUCGGCUAACUCCGUGCCAGCAGCCGCGGUAAUACGGAGGAUUCAAGCGUGACCCGGAUUUAUUGGGUUUAAAGGGUGCGUAGGCGGUCGGAUAAGUUAGAGGUGAAAUCCCGAGGCUCAACUUCGGAAUUGCCUCGGAUACUGUUCGGCUAGAGAGUAGUUGCGGUAGGCGGAAUGUAUGGUGUAGCGGUGAAAUGCUUAGAGAUCAGACAGAACACCGAUUGCGAAGGCAGCUUACCAAGCUACUUCUGACGUUGAGGCACGAAAGCGUGGGGAGUAAACAGGAUUAGAUACCCGGGUAGUC